rnacentral:rRNA from 1 species
GUGAGGAAUAUUGCGCAAUGGAGGCAACUCUGACGCAGCCAUGCCGCGUGCAGGAAGAAGGCGCUACGCGUUGUAAACUGCUUUUAACCGGGAAGAAACCCCAGGACGUGUCCUGGGUUGACGGUACCGGAGGAAUAAGCACCGGCUAACUUCGUGCCGGCAGCCGCGGUAAAACGAAGGGUGCAAGCGUUAUCCGGAUUCAUUGGGUUUAAAGGGUGCGUAGGCGGAGCGUUAAGUCAGUGGUGAAAUCCUGCAGCUUAACUGUAGACUUGCCAUUGAUACUGGCGCUCUUGAGUGCGCUUGAAGUGGGCGGAAUGUGCCGUGUAGCGGUGAAAUGCUUAGAUAUGGCACAGAACACCAAUUGCGAAGGCAGCUCACUAAGGCGAUACUGACGCUGAGGCACGAAAGCGUGGGGAUCGAACAGGAUUAGAAACCCGGGUAGUCC